AGACUCCUACGGGAGGCAGCAGUGGGGAAUAUUGCACAAUGGGCUCAAGCCUGAUGCACGCCAUGCCGCGUGUGUGAAGAAGGCCUUCGGGUUGUAAAGCACUUUCAGCGAGGAGGAAGGUGGUGAACUUAAUACGUUCAUCAAUUGACGUUACUCGCAGAAGAAGCACCGGCUAACUCCGUGCCAGCAGCCGCGGUAAUACGGAGGGUGCAAGCGUUAAUCGGAAUUACUGGGCGUAAAGCGCACGCAGGCGGUUUGUUAAGUCAGAUGUGAAAUCCCCGGGCUCAACCUGGGAACUGCAUUUGAAACUGGCAAGCUAGAGUCUCGUAGAGGGGGGUAGAAUUCCAGGUGUAGCGGUGAAAUGCGUAGAGAUCUGGAGGAAUACCGGUGGCGAAGGCGGCCCCCUGGACGAAGACUGACGCUCAGGUGCGAAAGCGU
rnacentral:rRNA from 1 species